UGAUGACACUUUUCUUCUUUCUGUAGGCAC
rnacentral:misc_RNA from 1 species